AAAAUUGAUCUAAUUUGCUCAGAAUUUUGGGGCUAAGAUUCUUCUCUCAUUUGUUCUCACUUUGAUUGAUUCGCUUUGGAUGCUGCUGAUCUUGAUUUGAUGUCCUUCCAUUCCUGGAGCCGGUUUCCUUACUUGCUUCUUUUAUUCUUUCAUCAUUAGCAAUCUUCCUCUAUCUUGCUUCCUUUAUCCUACAAAGAUCCAUUCGUUAGUUUUUCAUUAUUAAAAUACUAACUUAGGAGGCUAACAAUCUCCCCCUUUUGAUAAUGAUAAACUUAUACAUCAGUUGACUUUUCUAUUAAAAUGGCCGGCUUGCUCCCCUGAUUUUCUUGUCUUGGUGGCUAUACUCGAUUCUAAUGUGAUGAUAAUCGAUUAGCUCCCUUGUCUUGUUAAUUGAUACAAUCUUCUCCCCCUUUUGACAUAAUAAAAAAGGACAGAGCAAAUACACCACACACCAGAAAAUAACAAGCCACAAAACAAGGAGUAGAAAUUAAUCAAGAACAAAACAUAAAAUACUAGACAUGAAAAGUUACGGUAGGAAGUGACAGCAAAACACGUCGGAGCAGGAGUAUGUAGUGUCUUUAUACAGAGUAGAGUACGAGAAGGGACAUACCCCCUUUUGAAUAAAAAAAGUUCAGCGUCGUUUGACAAUAAAAUAGGUAAGAGUGUUGUGCAUGUUAGAGCAAAAAUGAUCAUAAGAUUUCUCAACACUCUUGGUGUUUUUGCGGAAAUAUGACUUUUAGAGUCGCCACUAAUUUAUUUGGAAAAAUUAAGAAAACCUUUAAAUGAUUCAAACAAAAAAAUCAUUUAAGUUUAAAAAUUCUAAGUAGCGGUUCCCAUUAACAUUUUAUGAAGGUUUUCACGGCACCUAAAAUGUCUGCUAACUUGCGGAAAAAUGAUUUCUUUUGACUUACUUCUAAAAGAAAAAGUUGAUUGUUGAAAAGAAGUUGAUUAAGGAAUACUUCAGAAGUUUAUGCAAAAUCAAUUUUUUAGCGACUUAGUUAAGGGGUUUAACUAGGUUCGAAAGAACUCAAAGCAAAUAAGCAUAGAAAAAAAAAAAAAAGGGGGGAAGAAAUAAAUGAUUUGGGCUCUUAAUCCCAAAUCCAUCAACCCUGUCCGAAUCUAAUUGGAUUUUCGGUCCAUUUUCACCGAUCCUAAUCUAGAUAUUGAGCUUUGGUCCAUAACUUGUCCUAAAGUAUAUUUUCGAUCUCUUUUUGGCCCACAACUUGCUUCACCUGUAUUAAUUUACAACUUUGGCUUCAAGGACCAGAUAAAUAAAUAAUGGAAUAAAUAAACAAAUAAUAAAAAGAAAACAAUAAAAAAUAAAAUAAGACUUCCAAGUCUCUUGGCUACUUCAAAAAAUGGGACUUUAACCCAUUCUUUUUCUUUUGACUCCUCUUAUCCACGCGCUAUGUAACAGACUUUAGACAUUCAUUCGGGCUUGACUCAAAAGAUGGGCCUCAUUGGCCGAUUGUGGAAUGCAAAGAGUCCGUUUGGACUCCAACGGGUUUUCAUGCAAAACAAGGAAGAUAAAGAACAUUAAUGUAACUCAUAGCCAACCACGGAAAAAUUAAAAUUAGUUAACACAUAAUCCAUCAAAGAGAGGAAAAAUUAGACCAAAACCAAUGCAGAUUUAACUAAAAAUGGCAACGUAGUAUGAAUCUUAAAUAAUCAAAAGACGAUUAAAGAUGGUAAGACAUAUUCAUUUCAAUUCAAACUUACAAGUUCAUCCAAAACAGAAGAACUGUAGUUAAUACAUAACCAACCCAGGAAAGAAUAUAAAGAGAAUUAAUACGUGCUAACAAUAUACACUAAGUAACUGGGAUCCUAACAGGUAGUCAAAAAUUAAUUGGACAUAAGAAUACAGAGUCAUAUCAAUUAAAUAAAGAAAGAUUAUAUGCAAAAAGGGUUGGGUAUUACGUUCCAGUAUUUCUUCUAAAAUUAUGAAAACAGAUCACAAAGGCAAAAACAUGUACCAUCUUCCUAACUAAAUUGGAAUGAUCAUUUAGAUAUGUUGAAAUAACACACUUUAAACUAAUUGAAACAUCCGAGAGACUUAGUAUGCAUAAGCAACAACAUGUAUUGAGAAAAAUACCCCCUUAAUUACCAUACCAUCACGAAGACAUAUAUUCUUGUAACAUCAACAUAUUGUCAAGAAAGGGAAUCAAUAUACCGAAUUAGCAUUAAACACUUCAAACUAUUAGGUAAUAGUUCUAACAAAAUAGAUUAGAGAAGUAAGUCAAUAGAUAUGAGUAGGAUUUUAAUUUGUAAAAAAAACAGUGUUAUACUAAACCAAGGUUUUAGGUUACAUCAUACAUGGCACAUCUGAAAAUACAUUUUUUAACCUACAACAACGUUAAAUCAGUUUACACUGAAGACUUAAGCAUGCUAGAUUUUCUACCAUAUACGACUUCUCAGAAAAUGACCACAACGACAAAGAAAAUCAAUACAUCAAAAACAAGAGAAGCUGGAAAAUUUUUGUAAAGGAAAAGUUGAAUAGCUCAGGGGCAGUUAUAUAUCUACUGUGUUCAAACAAACUGAGAUGAUUCUACUUAAAUAAAAUAGAGCAGAAUAUGUGCAAAGAACAUUGUAAAAUACCAAAUUUUGAGUCGCUUAAAGCCUAUUCUAUCCUUUCUCAACAAGUCAGUAAAUUGAAACAUCUAAAUACCCUAAAGGUGUUCUAGGCCCAUUACUACAAUUUGUCAAUUAGAGUCUAGGAAUGCUUAGAAGAUGAUUGCUAUUGACCCAAAGAAAACAAAGAAACUGCAAUGUCGGUUAAACUUGAAGAAACUAAUCCAAACUACAACAAUUAAAGUCAAGUCUAUCCAUGAACAAACAGAAACAAAGGAAAUUCAAUCUAGAAAGAGGCUAUCAAAACUUAAAUCUAUGACAAAAUAGACUAAAGCAAAACAGGCAUACAUACAUGUGAUUGAAAGUAUCAAAUUUAGAGAUGACGAUUAUACUAAAUCGAAAGAACAUAAUGAACACAGAUUUAUGCCAAAAGAAACAUCAUCCAAAGCAGAAAGGUGAACUUAAAAAACUAACUAAAGAUUGUUAAAUCAAGAAUGACAAGCAUCUCGUAUCAAACAACAAUCACGAUCCUCUUUGCGAUACUCUAAGGCUCGCAAAGCCUCUACAACAACAACUCCUAGCACACAAUAUACUAAUCAAAACUACUACGAGUUUUACAACACAACAAUAUGAGAAAAGUAAAAUCGAAGACUAACUGGUUCUUGGGCAGCAAAAUGAGACUUCGAACGUUGUUGGAGUCUACCACCACUGGAGAUCGUUGUCGUCGACUCGUGAACCUCCUAUUAGCGGAGGAUCAUUUUUGCUCAAAAGUUCUUUUCAACUCCUCGAGACUUGUCUAUUCUUCUGGUUUUGAGUCCCUUUUAUAGGAGAAGAUUAGGCUCCCCCUUUAGAGUUCAAUCGAUGUGGAAAAGGUGAAAUGGGGGGUAGUUUUGGGAUUGCCAAUUGAGAAAUUUUCCAAGUUUUGAAUGAUAACUACAUUUCCCCCUUAAUCUUGUGUUAAUUUUGGAUUUUUUUUAGAGGAUUUUGAAUGGGUUCGACCAAUAGGAAUGGGGAAAAUGGAAAUUCCCUCAAAACCAGUGAAACUCGCAGAACUCUAUACGAAUUCGUAUAAAUUCAGCCCAGAAAUAACAAAUUUUCCAUUGGGAGGCAACCUUGGUAUCAUUUCUAGAAAGUUUUUGGACCUUCUAUGGUACACCAUCGUGUGGGGAGCACGCAGUGCAUACGAGGGGUAAAGGAAUAGGUUGAGGUCAAUUUUUCACCGGGUCGGGGCUAGGAUCGGUCGGAGCUAUUGAGGUCGCUGUUGUUUCUGGUUGUUGAUCGGGAUUUUAUUAUUGUCGUUGUUUGGAGUUUGGACGCUAUGCUCUGUUGUGUGUUGAAGGCUGUUGUUGUUGAGA
rnacentral:lncRNA from 1 species